UCUUGAUGAACGCUAGCUACAGGCUUAACACAUGCAAGUCGAGGGGCAGCAUGGUCUUAGCUUGCUAAGGCCGAUGGCGACCGGCGCACGGGUGAGUAACACGUAUCCAACCUGCCGUCUACUCUUGGACAGCCUUCUGAAAGGAAGAUUAAUACAAGAUGGCAUCAUGAGUCCACAUGUUCACAUGAUUAAAGGUAUUCCGGUAGACGAUGGGGAUGCGUUCCAUUAGAUAGUAGGCGGGGUAACGGCCCACCUAGUCUUCGAUGGAUAGGGGUUCUGAGGGGAAGGUCCCCCACAUUGGAACUGAGACACGGUCCAAACUCCUACGGGAGGCAGCAGUGAGGAAUAUUGGUCAAUGGGCGAGAGCCUGAACCAGCCAAGUAGCGUGAAGGAUGACUGCCCUAUGGGUUGUAAACUUCUUUUAUAAAGGAAUAAAGUCGGGUAUGCAUACCCGUUUGCAUGUACUUUAUGAAUAAGGAUCGGCUAACUCCGUGCCAGCAGCCGCGGUAAUACGGAGGAUCCGAGCGUUAUCCGGAUUUAUUGGGUUUAAAGGGAGCGUAGAUGGAUGUUUAAGUCAGUUGUGAAAGUUUGCGGCUCAACCGUAAAAUUGCAGUUGAUACUGGAUAUCUUGAGUGCAGUUGAGGCAGGCGGAAUUCGUGGUGUAGCGGUGAAAUGCUUAGAUAUCACGAAGAACUCCGAUUGCGAAGGCAGCCUGCUAAGCUGCAACUGACAUUGAGGCUCGAAAGUGUGGGUAUCAAACAGGAUUAGAUACCCUGGUAGUCCACACGGUAAACGAUGAAUACUCGCUGUUUGCGAUAUACAGCAAGCGGCCAAGCGAAAGCGUUAAGUAUUCCACCUGGGGAGUACGCCGGCAACGGUGAAACUCAAAGGAAUUGACGGGGGCCCGCACAAGCGGAGGAACAUGUGGUUUAAUUCGAUGAUACGCGAGGAACCUUACCCGGGCUUAAAUUGCAGAUGAAUUACGGUGAAAGCCGUAAGCCGCAAGGCAUCUGUGAAGGUGCUGCAUGGUUGUCGUCAGCUCGUGCCGUGAGGUGUCGGCUUAAGUGCCAUAACGAGCGCAACCCUUGUUGUCAGUUACUAACAGGUCAUGCUGAGGACUCUGACAAGACUGCCAUCGUAAGAUGUGAGGAAGGUGGGGAUGACGUCAAAUCAGCACGGCCCUUACGUCCGGGGCUACACACGUGUUACAAUGGGGGGUACAGAGGGCCGCUACCACGCGAGUGGAUGCCAAUCCCAAAAACCUCUCUCAGUUCGGACUGGAGUCUGCAACCCGACUCCACGAAGCUGGAUUCGCUAGUAAUCGCGCAUCAGCCACGGCGCGGUGAAUACGUUCCCGGGCCUUGUACACACCGCCCGUCAAGCCAUGGGAGCCGGGGGUACCUGAAGUGCGUAACCGCGAGGAGCGCCCUAGGGUAAAA
rnacentral:rRNA from 1 species